AAUUAACACUAUAAAUAGGAAAAUGAUGAAAAAUGUUAUUUAACUUUUGCCCAUUAAAGAGAAUGGUUUUCAGUCCAUGGAGUGAGCCUGUCACCUAUUGUAGAGAGGAGUUUUGCCAAUUACUACGGAUUUGGCUCUACACAUUGAUGAAGGGCUUUUGCCCAUUGUAGUAGAGAGAGGCUUCAGCCUAAGGUGGAGAAAGGACAUAGAAUUCAAAAGGAAAUGAUUUUUGUCUAUUGGUGAGA
rnacentral:misc_RNA from 1 species